CAGGGCGCAGCCUGAAUGCAGCCAUGCCGCGUGGUGUGAAGAAGGCCUUCGGGGUUGUAAAGCACUUUCAGUCAGGAGGAAAGGGUGUGAGUUAAUACCUCAUAUCUGUGACGUUACUGACAGAAGAAGCACCGGCUAACUCCGUGCCAGCAGCCGCGGUAAUACGAA
rnacentral:rRNA from 1 species